rnacentral:sRNA from 1 species
CUUUGUCGCGGUCGAGGGCGCUCGG